rnacentral:rRNA from 1 species
UACGAAGGGGGCUAGCGUUGCUCGGAAUCACUGGGCGUAAAGCGCACGUAGGCGGCUUCUUAAGUCAGGGGUGAAAUCCUGGAGCUCAACUCCAGAACUGCCUUUGAUACUGAGGAUCUUGAGUUCGGGAGAGGUGAGUGGAACUGCGAGUGUAGAGGUGAAAUUCGUAGAUAUUCGCAAGAACACCAGUGGCGAAGGCGGCUCACUGGCCCGAUACUGACGCUGAGGCACGAAAGCGCGGGGAGCAAACAGG